rnacentral:rRNA from 1 species
AGUGAACGCUGGCGGUAGGCCUAACACAUGCAAGUCGAACGGCAGCACAGUAAGAGCUUGCUCUUACGGGUGGCGAGUGGCGGACGGGUGAGGAAUACAUCGGAAUCUACUUUUUCGUGGGGGAUAACGUAGGGAAACUUACGCUAAUACCGCAUACGACCUACGGGUGAAAGCAGGGGAUCUUCGGACCUUGAGCGAUUGAAUGAGCCGAUGUCGGAUUAGCUAGUUGGCGGGGUAAAGGCCCACCAAGGCGACGAUCCGUAGCUGGUCUGAGAGGAUGAUCAGCCACACUGGAACUGAGACACGGUCCAGACUCCUACGGGAGGCAGCAGUGGGGAAUAUUGGACAAUGGGCGCAAGCCUGAUCCAGCCAUACCGCGUGUGUUAAGAAGGCCUUCGGGUUGUAAAGCCCUUUUGUUGGGAAAGAAAAGCAGCAGGUUAAUACCCCGCUGUUCUGACGGUACCCAAAGAAUAAGCACCGGCUAACUUCGUG